UACCAUUCUAAUCCCUUAUAUAAAGGGAGAUGCCAUUUGCUCUAAACCUAAAAAGAAAAAGAAAACAAAAAACAAUCUUCACCUAAAAAGAGUUAGAGAGCUAACAAUGUCUGCACAAAAAUUUCAAUUUCAACUUGCUUUUCUGCUCUUAACUAUUUGUCUUCUUUCUUCUCAAUUACUUGCUAAACCAAUUGGGAAAUGUCACUACAAAGGUCCUUGUGAAACUGAUAAUGACUGCAAAACAUUAUGCACAGGCCCAGAUGAAGAUCCUACAUUUCUAAUGUGCAUUAAAAACCCUCCAAUUAAUCACAAAUGUUGUUGUGUACCACCUAUCAACUAAAGAAAAUUGGUUUUGUUCUACAAUGAUACAUCCAUAGACUUGUAUCAUCACCUAUUAUAAGAUUUAAAAUUAAUAAACAAAAAGAUUUGGAUCA